rnacentral:rRNA from 1 species
UCUGCAGCCAUACCACCCUGAACGCUCCAGUUCUCAUCCAGUCUUGGAAGCUAAGCAGGAUCGAACCUGGUUACUUUACUACUUGGAGACCAACACAGACUAUACCACGGAUCAGGAGUCGACAAAC